AAGACUGCCUCGGAUAACGGGGAAGAAGGUGGGGAUGACGUCAAGUCCGCAUGCUCCUUACGUCUAGGGCUACACACGUCCUACAAUGGGGUCGACAAUGGGAUGCAAUAUCGCAAGAUGGAGCCAAUCCCCAAACGGCCUCUCAGUUCGGAUUGUAGUCUGCAACUCGACUACAUGAAGUUGGAAUCGCUAGUAAUGGCAGAUCAGCAUGCUGCCGUGAAUACGUUCCCGGGUCUU
rnacentral:rRNA from 1 species